GACAGAGGGUGCAAACGUUGUUCGGAAUUACUGGGCGUAAAGCGCGUGUAGGCGGCUUGGCAAGUCGGGUGUGAAAGCCCUGGGCUUAACCUAGGAAGUGCACUCGAAACUGCCGAGCUUGAGUUCUGGAGAGGAAGGCGGAAUUCUCGGUGUAGAGGUGAAAUUCGUAGAUAUCGAGAGGAACACCUGCGGCGAAGGCGGGUUGCUGGGCCGACACUGACGCUGAUGCGCGAAAGCCAGGGGAGCGAACGGG
rnacentral:rRNA from 1 species